rnacentral:rRNA from 2 species
GACAGAGGGUGCAAACGUUGUUCGGAAUUACUGGGCGUAAAGCGCGUGUAGGCGGCUUGGCAAGUCGGGUGUGAAAGCCCCGGGCUCAACCUGGGAAGUGCACUCGAAACUGCUUCGCUUGAGUACUGGAGAGGGAAGUGGAAUUCUCGGUGUAGAGGUGAAAUUCGUAGAUAUCGAGAGGAACAUCGGUGGCGAAGGCGGCUUCCUGGACAGUUACUGACGCUGAGACGCGAAAGCGUGGGGAGCAAACAGG